CCUACGGGUGGCAGCAGUGGGGAAUAUUGCACAAUGGGGGAAACCCUGAUGCAGCGACGCCGCGUGAGUGAAGCAGUUAUUCGUUAUGUAAAGCCCUAUCAGCCGGGAAGCAAAUGACGGUACCUGAGUAAGAAGACCAGGCUAACUACGUGCCAGCAGCCGCGGUAAUACGUCGGGGGAAAGCGUUAUCAGGAUUUACUGGGAGUAAAGGGAGCGUAGACGGCAGUGCAUGUCCGGAGUGAAUGGCGGGGGCUGAACCCCCGGACGGCUCUGGAAACUGUACGACUGGAGUGCAGGAGAGGUAAGUGGAAGUCCUAGUGUAGCGGUGAAAGGCGUAGAUAGUAGGAGGAACACCAGGGGCGAAGGCGGCUUACUGGACAUUAACUGACGUUGAGGCGCGAAAGCGUGGGGAGCAAACAGGAUUAGAUACCCGAGUAGUC
rnacentral:rRNA from 1 species